ACUCCUACGGGAGGCAGCAGUAAGGAAUAUUGGUCAAUGGAGGCAACUCUGAACCAGCCAUGCCGCGUGCAGGAAGACUGCCCUAUGGGUUGUAAACUGCUUUUAUCUGGGAAUAAACCUAUUUACGUGUAGAUAGCUGAAUGUACCAGAAGAAUAAGGAUCGGCUAACUCCGUGCCAGCAGCCGCGGUAAUACGGAGGAUCCAAGCGUUAUCCGGAUUUAUUGGGUUUAAAGGGUGCGUAGGCGGCCUGUUAAGUCAUAGGUGAAAGACGGUAGCUCAACUAUCGCAGUGCCUUUGAUACUGAUGGGCUUGAAUGGACUAGAGGUAGGCGGAAUGAGACAAGUAGCGGUGAAAUGCAUAGAUAUGUCUCAGAACACCGAUUGCGAAGGCAGCUUACUAUGGUUUUAUUGACGCUGAGGCACGAAAGCGUGGGGAUCAAACAGGAUUAGAUACCCUGGUAGCACAGAG
rnacentral:rRNA from 1 species